rnacentral:lncRNA from 1 species
GUGUGCCCGAAGUCCCAUAGUGGCAGCGUUAGAGUGAAGGGGGAAGGAAGUGUUCUGGCUUCCCCUCUGCAUUUUUUCUAUUAUUCUUCUCUGUUCAUUAACACUGAUGCAGGAUUAAACAGAGAGAGCAGUGAAGCUCUUGAUGUAUGAAGAUUCCUCUUCUGAAAGAGGUCAGAAGGAACCUAGAAAACCACCUCUAGAAGGAGACUUCAACACCCCAAACCAGGAAACACCCCACUUGGGACAGACAGGGACACAAUGCAGCG